GCCGGGCGUGGUGGCGGGCGCCUGUAGUCCCAGCUACUCGGAGGCUGAGGCGGGAGAAUGGCGUGAACCCGGGAGGUGGAGCUUGCAGUGAGCCGAGAUCACGCCACUGCACUCCAGCCUGGGUGACAGAGCAAGACUCCGUCUCAA
rnacentral:SRP_RNA from 1 species